rnacentral:rRNA from 1 species
AACGAACGCUGGCGGCAUGCCUAACACAUGCAAGUCGAACGAGACCUUCGGGUCAAGUGGCGCACGGGUGCGUAACGCGUGGGAACCUGCCCUUAGGUUCGGAAUAACUCCCCGAAAGGGGUGCUAAUACCGGAUAAUGUCUUCGGACCAAAGAUUUAUCGCCUUUGGAUGGGCCCGCGUUGGAUUAGCUAGUUGGUAGGGUAAAAGCCUACCAAGGCGACGAUCCAUAGCUGGUCUGAGAGGAUGAUCGGCCACACUGGGACUGAGACACGGCCCAGACUCCUACGGGAGGCAGCAGUGGGGAAUAUUGGACAAUGGGCGAAAGCCUGAUCCAGCAAUGCCGCGUGAGUGAUGAAGGCCUUAGGGUUGUAAAGCUCUUUUACCCGGGAUGAUAAUGACAGUACCGGGAGAAUAAGCUCCGGCUAACUCCGUG